rnacentral:lncRNA from 1 species
GAACCUAUAGUUCUAGUUUAAUUUGAGUUGUGCUGUAAGUCUAAAAUAUAUACCAGAUUUCAAACAGUAUUAAAAAAGAAUGCAAAAUGUCUUAUUUUUAUAUUGAUUACAUGUUAAAAUAUACUGUAUGUAUUUAACUAGAUUAUUUUUAUUUAAAAUAUCAAUUAUAUAAAAUUAAUUUCACUUAUUUCCUUUUACUUUUAUUAAUGUGGCUUCUCAAAACUUAAAAUUACCAUGUAGCUCAAACUCGUGGCUUGAAAUAUUUCUUUUUUUUAAUAUUCUUUUUUCUAAAUUUUUAAAAAAUUGUUAUUUCCCCAAUACAAUUUUUUUUCUACUGUAUAGCAUGGUGACUCAGUUACACAUACAUGUACACAUUCUAUUUUCUCACAUUACCAUGCUCCAUCAUAAGUGACUAGACGUAGUUCCCAGUGCUACACAGCAAUAUCUCAUUGCUAAUCCAUUCCAAAGGCAAUAGUUUGCAUCUAUUAACCCCAAGCUCUCAAUCCACCCCACUCCCUCCCCCGCCCCCUUGGCAACCAUAGGUCUAUUGAACAGCACUAGUCUGGAGGGCCCAGAUUAGCCUUGCUGGGACACCGUCCAGGUUAGCUGAUGCCAAGAUUGGAAUCCUUGGAAUGUAGGGAACUUGAAGUAUCAUAAAUGAAGGAACCAGAUGAGGUAAAUAGGUAGAAACUGUCAACAUGUAACCUUCAACUAUCACAGGGUCAGAUUUGAGAAAUGAAGCUUGAAUUUUCUCGAAUUCAAGAGAAAUUUGAGAAAAUUUUAGAUGGUUCUCUAGUGCAAAAGCCACUGAACUAGAGCUCAUCAUGGACAUGAAGGGGCUUUAUAAACACCUUGAUAUUAUACACAAUUAAUGUGUAAAUACCUUUUUCUAUAGAGAGGCUCUAACUUUAGAUUCUCAAAAGAGACAAUGGCUUCCAAAAUAUUAAGAAUUUUAAUUCCAGGAUGAAAUGGCUCAGAAAGGCUAUAUCACAAUUACUGUUAGGUGGCCAUCCAUGUCUAUGAAUAUUAGUCUUCUCAAUAAUGUGUACACACAGGUCACAGAAAUCAAAGUACAUGGAGUUCGAAGAACAAGUAUAGCUAACAAUACGCUUUAAGACAGGAAGACAAUGACAUUAUAAGGGCACUUAUUGUUGAUUAUGUCCCAGGAAACAAAGCUAUUGAUGAUUCAGCACAAAAUUUCUGUAGCUCUCACACUAAAAGAAUUAGUUAUACAUCCCUUAGUAUUUGUGGGUGAUUGGUUCCCAAACCACAUGGAUACCUAAAUUUAUGAAUGCUCAAAUUUCAUAUAUAAAAUGGUGGAGUAUUUGCACAUCCUUUUGUAUAUUUUAAGUAAUCUCUGGACUACUUAUAAUACAAUGUAAAUACUAUGUAAAUAGUUGCCUGUAUGAAGCAAAUACAGAUUUUAUUUUUUAGAACUUUCUGUUUUUUUUUUUUUUCUCCCAAAUAUUUUCAAUCUGAGGUUGGUUGAAUGUGUAGAUACAGAACCCAUAGAUAUGAAGGGCUGACUGUAAAUUGUUUUGCUUGGAAGAAGAAAACUUCAUCAUUUAUUCAUUCCUUUGCACUUUUAUAGUAUUUUAACCACUCUUAUAGAAUUUAACCUAUUAUAUUCUUAACUUUUCAGAAUGUACAUAUCUGUCUCAGUUUAUACUAUAAUGUGGCCGUUCAAGAACAAGGGACACACCAUUUCUUUUAAUUUUUAUCACCAGUUCCUAGCAAGUAGACACUCAAUAGAUGUUGCUGAGUCAAAAACUAAAUGGUUGCCUGAUUUUACACUUCUCAGUAUAAAAGAUAAUCAAUGAAACAAAUACAGCUUUAAUGAUUAAAAUUUGAUGUAGUGCAGAAUAAAAGGCUAGAGCUAUCUAGGUUUAGUCAAAUGACCAGAUUUAGCAUUUGACCCUACUCAGUGUUCACAAAUCAAGCUAACCUGCCAAAUGACUGCACACAGAUUACAGCUGAGAUACACUUUUCUUAGGCCUAAACAAUGCUGAUUCAUUCACCACAGUUCAUUUGCAAGUGAAAGAAACAAACUUUUAAGUUAGAGAAAUAUAAGCAGUCUUAGAUCUGGGAGUCAUCAGGAAAUGUUUGGUGCUUUACAGAACAGACUGAAAGUUAAACAGGUUAACGUGACAUUUCAAAGGGAUUUUGAAAUUCAAUAGCUUUCUCUAGCAGGUGAUGUUAUUCUCUGGUUCUAAGGCAAAUGCUGAAUUUCUUCAAAGGAACAAUGAUAGAUUAUAGAAAAACUAGAUAGGUUCAACAUUCACAUUUUUCCCCCCUCUCCUUAACCUUGCCCAACCCCACGAAAAUCAUAUGUGUAUGUACAUAAUAGGAAAUGGGAAAACCUUCUGGCUGGCUU